CCUACGGGGGGCAGCAGUGGGGAAUAUUGCACAAUGGGGGAAACCCUGAUGCAGCAACGCAGCGUGCGUGAAGACGUAUUUCGGUAUGUUAAGCUCUAUCUGCAGGGAAGAAGAUGACGGUACCUGAGUAAGAAGCCCUGGCUAACUACGUGCCAGCAGCCGCGGUAAUACGUAGGGGGCGAGCGUUAUCCGGAUUUACUGGGUGUAAAGGGCGCGUAGACGGUGAGAUAAGUCUGAAGUGAAAGCCCGGGGCUCAACCCCGGGACUGCUGUGGAAACUGCCGGACUGGAGUGCUGGAAAGGCAAGCGGAAUGCCUAGUGUAGCGGUGAAAUGCGUAGAUAUUAGGAAGAACACCAGUUGCGAAGGCAGCUUGCUGGACAGUAACUGACGUUGAGGCUCGAAAGCGUGGGUAGCAAACAGGAUUAGAUACCCUAGUAGUC
rnacentral:rRNA from 1 species